AGGAAGUGGGCCAUUAGAGAGGUCAGACAUGAAGGAAUACAGCCCAGCUCCCCUUUCAGUCUGCUCUCUGCUUCUUGGUCCAGUCCAUCUAGGUGUCAAGAAAUAUAGAAGAAAUAUGGAAGACAUGAUCCUUGGCUUCCUUCCAGUUGUGAUUUUCUGAAGAGCAAUCCAGUGGAGACAAGAACAAAAAUAAUCAUGUCAAGUAAGCAGUACAUUUUAAGAGCAAAUACUUGUUAUGAUCCUACAAGCUACACAAAGAAAACAAAAAUGAACACUUCUCCAGGGAAGUUUGUCAGAAUCCCAAGAAACUUAAAACAAGAAGAGAUUGAAAAGCCUCAAAGAUUAAUCAAAAGUCAAACAUUCAUUUAAAGUUCUGAAAGCAGUUUAACAAUUUCAACUUCUAGUUUGGCUCAAAAACCUUGAGUGAAAGGUCUUAAUCAACUUUGUAAUAAAAGGUUUUUCUGUUAAUAAC